CUGCAUCUUGAUGCUUCUUUGUAACCAUCUUCGCCUGAAUAUGAUUAUGAAAGUAUUUUACUGUUGCAGAAAUGGAAGAUGGGAGACAAAACCAAGGAGAUCCAAGUGCUCCAUUAGUUGCACAAAAUUCUGCUUAUGAUGGACUUUUGCCUCAGCUUUUUACCUCUAUGCCAUCUCUGAAUGAAGCUGCAUCAUAUCUUUCACA